rnacentral:rRNA from 1 species
GAGAGUUAAACAGUACGUGAAAUUGUUGAAAGGGAAACGAUUGAAGCCAGUCGUACCUUCGGGUAAUCAGCCUUUCGGGUGCGAUUCUGUGGAGUGUGAGGAGCUUAAACACCUUCAUGUUUUGCAUAUUCGUACUCUUGGGUGUACUUGCCCGUGUGGUUGGUUAACAUCAAUUUUGGUGGUCAUAAAAUGACUGGGGGAAUGUAGCUUCGAUCUCGUAUUGAAGUGUUAUAGCCUUUGGUAGAUGUGAUGUUUGAGACCGAGGAUUGCAACGGAUACCCUUCUGAGCUAUUCGUCUGAUCUCUGAAACGUUGCUUUGAUGUCGAAAGCUUGCUUAUAAUGUUAGGGUAUUACGAUCAAAAGGUUAGAAUGGAUUAAAUUCGUUAAGGAUGUUGACGUAAUGACUUUAAACGA